UACGUAGGGGGCUAGCGUUGUCCGGAAUCAUUGGGCGUAAAGAGCGUGUAGGCGGCCCGGUAAGUCCGCUGUAAAAGUCAAAGGCUCAACCUUUGAAUGUCAGUGGAUACUGCCGGGCUAGAGUCCGGAAGAGGCGAGUGGAACUCCUGGUGUAGCGGUGGAAUGCGCAGAUAUCAGGAGGAACACCGAUGGCGAAGGCAGGUCUCUGGGCCACUACUGACGCUGGAGAAGCGAAAGCAUGGGGAGCGAACAGG
rnacentral:rRNA from 1 species